ensembl:lncRNA
ACUAUGUGUUUAUACAUCUCUCUGCAUUUGAUUAUUAGCUAUGAUUAUUGUUUUUACCUGUCCCAGUUUCUCCAGUAAUGUACAGCAUUCAUUUGUUGAUUAUUUAUCAAACAUAAAAUUCUCACCCUUUUAUUCUGCUUUUAAAAAAAGAAAAGAAGAAAAAAGAUAGUGGUUUAUAUUUUAAAACACUGUCGCCAAAAGAAAAAAAAAAGACUUCUUGUGGAAUUCAUAUUCAUUAUCUUUUGUAUAUUUUUUUCUCAUUAAUGCAGUUGUACUGUGUAUUUUUCCAAUUUGUUUUGCAGGAAAGUAUUUUAAAGAAGAAUUAGAUAAAGUUAAAAGCGACACCAGCCAGGAAACGGCUCUUUCUAAUCUGUAGCGAUGACAGGAAGUACGUAAAAGUUCGCGCAUGUGUAAAGCAAACCUUACCCUGCGAGUCAUCGCUGAGGGUUUAAAGCAUAUGUUUUUGUUUCUGUUUCGUGUGCAGUCAUUUGUGUUGAUCUUUUUAUUACUUUGAUUUGCAGUGACUCUUCCCGCAGGAACAUUUCUAUGGGACAGCACUUAAUUGAGACUUCCAGUAAUGUCAGGUUGCUCGGUUAUCCCUCUGACGUUACCGCAGCGGGACGGGGGCGCGAGGAGGAUUCGUUUCAUUCACCUGGUGGGUCUGACAUCGUUCAGACUGACAGAGAGCACCAAACAGGUGAGUUAAUGGUUCACAGGUAGUCCAAGAGGGUGAUGUAUUACCACCAGCAUAAUAAACACAUCUCCUUACUUGCAGGACGGUCGCAGACUUUCUAAUUGGAUAGUGAUAAGUAAUGUUUAACAAACAAGUACUGUAGCUAACUAAAAACAAAAAACAGCUUAGUAAAAUAAAUAAAUAAAUAAAUAAAGCUUGACUAAUACUAUACUGCAGUUUUACACUCAUCGGGCAUUUUAUUAAGUACACCUUAUUAGUACUGGGUUGGGCCUACUGUUGCCUCCAGAGCCAGCUUAAAUCUUUGUGGCACAGAUUCAACAAGGAGCUGGGUACCUUCCUCUGAGAUUUUGAUCACACACAGCUCCUGCAGAUUUGUCGGCUGAACAUCCAUGAUGUGAAUCUCCUGUUCCAGGACAUCCUCCUGGAGUUGGACCUGGUGGCUGUGGCGGCCAUGUGUGUACAGUGAACUCAUUUUCGCUGCCAGUUUGAGAUUAUUUGAGCUUUGUGACAUGCUAUGUUAUCCUCCUGGAAGCAGAAGAUGGGUAAACUGUGGUCAUAAAAGCUGGACAUGGGUUCAACGAUUCCGCUCUAUUUGGGAGCCGAUCUCCUCUCAAAGACUGAUGUGCGUACAGAAAACCAUCCAAGACACCAUGCCAAGUUUGCCAAGAAAGGCCUUGCAACAAAAAUAACUUUUUCCUCAGCUUUCAGGUUUCACGGCUUGAAGGUACCCUCUGCAAAUAACAGCCUGUGGUUCUACAGCAUUCAGGGACUUUUUCGAGUAGCCUUUGAGUUGUACAGUAAGCAAGAUCAGCUUGCUGUGCUGGAGAAUUUCCAGGAUGUCUGGAAAGCACAGAUCAGUGACAGCCCUCUGGAAGUGAGUUACAGCCUCAGCGUGCAGCUGGACCCUUCAGGGUCGCUCAGCCAGCGUGACUCACAAUCAAAGGGUGUAAUAUCACAGCCUCCUUAUUUCCAGGCUGACAAGGAUGUGGUAGAUGUUAGUAGCAUGGACACUGCUGACACAUCAGCAGAUCAUGAUUAUUGUUCUCUUCCCAAGCAGAGCUUACAAUCUGAGCAAAGAGAAGUAGUAAUAUCCACAGUGAGACAAAAAUUGCACCGCUUGGAUGAACAGUUCUCCUCGGAGCCUCGAAGCUGCUCAGAGCAGCUGGAGACGGUCUUGCUGCUUUUGGAGAACAUUGAUCGCUACAUAAAUGGGAGACUUGAAGAAAAAGAUGCGACGGAGAUUGUGCUGGCUCUGCUAAAGGCCAAAGACUGGGGCCCAGUGUAUUCAAGCAGCCUGCUCACUUGUAUAGGACGUUGGCUUGGCCAGCAGUUUCAUGCAGCCAACAGCAGCAUCAGCCAGAAGGUGGAGGGCUUUAAACUUCAGCACAUUGAGCGCAUCAGCGACCUGCCACCUGCUGAGGAACUAGCCACAGAGCUGUUCCCUGAAGCGAUGCGGACGCUGCUGCUUCACUGGAUGGGCUUAAGUGAGGACUUCAGCCUUGAAAAGAGACGCAGCGAAUACCCAAUCCUGCUCCUCAUCCUCGAGUUUGCCAACCACAACCUCAUCACUGGCGUAGCUCAUGUGUUGUACUCCAGUCUUAUAUGCAGGUAAAAGUGUCAACAUAAGACCUGUUUUUCAAUGGAACAACGUUUUAUAUUCAAAUAAAGGUUUAUUUUGUGCGUGUGUGUACAUUACUAUACAUAUGACUCCUCUUAGGUUGGGUAAGGUUCAGUAUUAGCAAAAACAUUUGUUACACAGUACCCUGCAAAAAUCACCAGAUUCUCAUUUCUUACUUUUGCUAGGAAAAGAGAUAUGGGUGGAGAUUGAUCAAAACACACUAUCUAAUAUAGAAAGAACAGUGGCUGAGAUCCAAACAAGCUUAAAGUCAGUAUCUGGUUGUGACCACCUUUAUUAGUGUUUCAUUGUGUUUUUACUGUCUAGGUAUGUUUUUGCUGCAUUGACAGUGUGCUUGGGGUCACUGUUAUGCUAAAAAAAUAAAACCUCUGACCAUCAGAUAUUUCCAGGUGGUAUUGACUGGUGGAUCAAAAUCUGACUGUACUUUUCUGGGUUCACAGUUCAAUCAGUUUUGAUUAAAUCUCUGGCACCACUGGCUGAAAUGCAGCUCUAUGACAGAGCCUCCACCAUGUUUUACACACAGUAGCAGAAGAUACAGUUGUACCUCUCUUCUGAACUUGUCUGUAUAUCGUGACGAUGAUUUGAACCAAAAAUGUAAAAUAUGGAUUCAUCUCUCCAUCAGACCCGUUGUCACUGAUUUUCAGGUACUGUUUAUCUGCUGUGGGCUAGUUUUUGGGUUUUUAGGUCCUCCACUUGUCCAGUUUCUUCUGAUUUAUUUUAUUGAUACAAUGCACACUAUCCUGAGAUAUGCCAGGUUCAUGGCUAAAGGUUCUUUGGGAAUCACCUUGGUGGUGUAAACAUUAUUUUUGAAACACGUUAUGAUCCAACCAUAUCACAUAAAAGGAAAUGCUGCGACGUGUUCUAAAACUUUUUUAAGACACAAAAUUUAUUUAUUUGAAACACAUUAAAAAGUACAAAAGAACAUUUGAAACACAUUUACUCCUCCCCACUCAUCUCUGUGCAGGACAAUUUACAGGAAUUGUCCUGCAGGGGCCAGCAGUUCCCUGGAGGCCCAGGUAAAUAUUCCUGAGGAAAGAAAAUUAAUUAUUACGCUGCCC